rnacentral:lncRNA from 1 species
UUUAGUAUAAAAUCUAAGCUAAUAUCUUAUUUUAAUUUAUUUAUAAUUAUAUAAAUUAUAUAAAUAUGGUAAUUAUGUUCGUAAAAUAAGUGAUAUAUUUAAAUUUUAAAAAUAAAAAGCUAUUAACUGUCUCAAAUCAUAUAAAGUAAAGAUAAAAAUGUAUAAAACUUAUUUGAACUAUAAAUUAUUUUGAGUUGGCCACCCAACAUUUCAAAAAUUUUGAUUUUACUAUUCUUUUAAUUUGUUUGAUUUGAGUCAGUCAACAGCAUUGUAACUGUAAAAUUUAAUGCAUUAUUUAUCUUUACAAGUUUAGUUAUCUAUUCCAUACAAUUCUUGCAACUAUAAAUUUAUUAAAAUAAUUAGCUAAAAUUUUGAAUUAAAAUAUCAUUAACUAAAUUGAAUCAAAUAAAUUGAAAGGUUGGAUCGUUAACUCAAAUUUUGGAAUUAAGGUUGAGUAGUAGCCAAUCAAAAUAGUCUAUAAUUAAUGUAAGCUCCAUAUGUUUUUGCCUAAGGGCAAGUUUGGGUUGAAGUGAAAAAUGUUGCUUUUGUAAAACUGUAAAAGUGACUUAUACCAAAGUGACGUUUGGGUUGAAAAGAAAAUUGUCGCUUGUAUAAAAGUGACUUUUGUGUUCAUUGUUUAAAUGACUAAAAAGUGAAAAAUAGAAAACUAUAUUUUGUGGUUUCGAUUUUUUUGAUUAUUUCAUUAUAUAUAAUUUGAAUUUAUGAUUGUCACACCCCAAUAAUUUUACAUCGGAUAUGAAUGGAGAUGUGAUUGGGUAUAUAAGAGACUUAUACACUAGUAAUAAUAAUUGGGCUUAAGAAUUUUCUGCCGGUGGUUGGGCCGAACAAGUUAUUAUUGCUAGUGAGCUGGGUCGUUACAUUUGGUAUCAGAGCCAAUCACCAGCCGGAAAUGUGUGGCUAGUUUCGGCUGAGUCAGAGUCUGAAAGAUAAUAAGAGAGGCUAUACGGGAGUCUGUAUGACAUGCUGACCAGCUAUGCCAGGGUCUGGAUGACAAGGUUAGCGAGACGAGUCUCACAUUGCCUGAUAAUUUUAGACUCUGUGUGUGAUUUGACUGACGAGAACGUUAGGGCCUUAACGGGGGAAUCUGUCACACCCAACAAUCCUACAUCGGAUAUGAAUGGGAUGUGAUUGGGUAUAUAAGAGACUUAGAUACUAUUAGUAAUAAUUGGACUUAAGUAUUUUGGGCCGGUGGUUGGGCCCAACGAGUUAUUAUUGCUAGUGAGCUGCGUCGUUACAAUGAUUUGAAUCAAAAUUU